rnacentral:rRNA from 1 species
GACAGAGGGUGCAAACGUUGUUCGGAAUUACUGGGCGUAAAGCGCGUGUAGGCGGCUUUGCAAGUCGGGCGUGAAAUCCCACGGCUCAACCGUGGAAGUGCACUCGAAACCGCAGAGCUAGAGUCCUGGAGAGGAAGGUGGAAUGCUUGGUGUAGAGGUGAAAUUCGUAGAUAUCAAGCGGAACACCGGUGGCGAAGGCGGCAUCCUGGACCGGCAUUGACGCUGAGGCGCGAAAGCUAGGGGAGCAAAGCGGGG